UGGGAUGGUGACUCCUGAUUCCUCAGGGCCAUAGAGACCUAUUUAGAAUACCAAUCCUUAGGAUAUGGGCGCAAUUGUUUAUUCUUUUGUCUUGAGGCCUGGCCCACAGUGAGAGAUGUGGGUCUCCCCCACAGUUACUGGUAUCUGGGCUUCAGCACUGGCUCCUUGGAGGACCUAGCCCUGUCUCACUGCCUAUUAUAUUUCUAACUAACUCAGCUGCCUGUAAGAAGAGGGGGAGAUCAUGUCCUGACACAUUGCUGUCUUCCAGGUAAUUUUAAGAGGUGCAUUUCUCCCAUGAGAAAUCUGAAAUUCAGACCUGUGCCUCCUUUCUCUAUUGUUAGGCACUGUUUUGUGGGACAUACGCUAGGUGACUAAAUAAUAAAGUGUGACUACAGUAGCACAAGAAAAUAGACCUGCACUGGAAAUCUGAGUACCAUAAAUGCAAUGUCAUUAUUAUGAGCCGUGCUGAGCUGACACAUAGGACUCCAGGGAGGACCCUAUAUCUUCAGGAUGGACUCAGGGAUGCCCUGGACCCCGUGCUGUGCCCCACGCUAAUACAGGAAAUGUUGCCCAUCUGCCAUGUGCCGCCCUGCCUUGGAUCCAGCCAAUUAAAGACUGAAACCUCCACAAACUCCACCAGAACACAAGACAUGCAACCUUUGUGAUUCCAUCUUUAGAACGCAUCUUGGACUACAAGAAUAUUACAGCUUCAUGAAGAAUCCAAAUGGCUCUUUAAUAGGUUUCCCAGGUUUCUUUGGAACAAAGAAAAGACAGUUGCAUCCAGGGAAGCUGCACUUUCACAGCAGUCAUAAGUGAAUCUGAUGAGCGGCACAUCACUACAAAGGAAAAUUUGAUAUUGUUCUCCUGCUGUUCUCACUAGUGCUACAUUCUUAAGCCUCUAGGACUGAAAAAUGUCCACUAGCAUACCCGUGCUGUUUCUGUCAAUGCAUACUCUCUAUCUCUA